rnacentral:rRNA from 1 species
AGCGUACACGGUGGAUGCCCUGGCAGUCAGAGGCGAUGAAGGACGUGCUAAUCUGCGAAAAGCGUCGGUAAGGUGAUAUGAACCGUUACAGCCGGCGAUGUCCGAAUGGGGAAACCCAGUGCAAUUCGUUGCACUAUCGUUAACUGAAUACAUAGGUUAACGAGGCGAACCGGGGGAACUGAAACAUCUAAGUACCCCGAGGAAAAGAAAUCAACCGAGAUUCCCCCAGUAGCGGCGAGCGAACGGGGAGCAGCCCAGAGUCUGAAUCAGCUUGUGUGUUAGUGGAACGGUCUGGAAAGUCCGACGGUACAGGGUGAUAGUCCCGUACACCAAAAUGCACAGGUUGUGAACUCGAAGAGUAGGGCGGGACACGUGGUAUCCUGUCUGAAUAUGGGGGGACCAUCCUCCAAGGCUAAAUACUCCUGACUGACCGAUAGUGAACCAGUACCGUGAGGGAAAGGCGAAAAGAACCCCGGCGAGGGGAGUGAAAAAGAACCUGAAACCGUGUACGUACAAGCAGUGGGAGCACCUUUAUGGUGUGACUGCGUACCUUUUGUAUAAUGGGUCAGCGACUUAUAUUCUGUAGCAAGGUUAACCGUAUAGGGGAGCCGCAGGGAAACCGAGUCUUAACUGGGCGUUAAGUUGCAGGGUAUAGACCCGAAACCCGGUGAUCUAGCCAUGGGCAGGUUGAAGGUUGGGUAACACUAACUGGAGGACCGAACCGACUAAUGUUGAAAAAUUAGCGGAUGACUUGUGGCUGGGGGUGAAAGGCCAAUCAAACCGGGAGAUAGCUGGUUCUCCCCGAAAGCUAUUUAGGUAGCGCCUCGUGAACUCAUCUUCGGGGGUAGAGCACUGUUUCGGCUAGGGGGUCAUCCCGACUUACCAACCCGAUGCAAACUACGAAUACCGAAGAAUGUUAUCACGGGAGACACACGGCGGGUGCUAACGUCCGUCGUGAAGAGGGAAACAACCCAGACCGCCAGCUAAGGUCCCAAAGUCAUGGUUAAGUGGGAAACGAUGUGGGAAGGCACAGACAGCCAGGAUGUUGGCUUAGAAGCAGCCAUCAUUUAAAGAAAGCGUAAUAGCUCACUGGUCGAGUCGGCCUGCGCGGAAGAUGUAACGGGGCUAAACCAUGCACCGAAGCUGCGGCAGCGACACUAUGUGUUGUUGGGUAGGGGAGCGUUCUGUAAGCCUGCGAAGGUGACCUGUGAGGGUUGCUGGAGGUAUCAGAAGUGCGAAUGCUGACAUAAGUAACGAUAAAGCGGGUGAAAAGCCCGCUCGCCGGAAGACCAAGGGUUCCUGUCCAACGUUAAUCGGGGCAGGGUGAGUCGACCCCUAAGGCGAGGCCGAAAGGCGUAGUCGAUGGGAAACAGGUUAAUAUUCCUGUACUUGGUGUUACUGCGAAGGGGGGACGGAGAAGGCUAUGUUAGCCGGGCGACGGUUGUCCCGGUUUAAGCAUGUAGGCUGGUUAUCCAGGCAAAUCCGGAUAAUCAAGGCUGAGGUGUGAUGACGAGGCACUACGGUGCUGAAGUAACAAAUGCCCUGCUUCCAGGAAAAGCCUCUAAGCAUCAGGUAACAUCAAAUCGUACCCCAAACCGACACAGGUGGUCAGGUAGAGAAUACCAAGGCGCUUGAGAGAACUCGGGUGAAGGAACUAGGCAAAAUGGUGCCGUAACUUCGGGAGAAGGCACGCUGGUGUGUAGGUGAAGCCCCUGCGGGUGGAGCUGAGACCAGUCGAAGAUACCAGCUGGCUGCAACUGUUUAUUAAAAACACAGCACUGUGCAAACACGAAAGUGGACGUAUACGGUGUGACGCCUGCCCGGUGCCGGAAGGUUAAUUGAUGGGGUUAUCCGUAAGGAGAAGCUCUUGAUCGAAGCCCCGGUAAACGGCGGCCGUAACUAUAACGGUCCUAAGGUAGCGAAAUUCCUUGUCGGGUAAGUUCCGACCUGCACGAAUGGCGUAAUGAUGGCCAGGCUGUCUCCACCCGAGACUCAGUGAAAUUGAACUCGCUGUGAAGAUGCAGUGUACCCGCGGCAAGACGGAAAGACCCCGUGAACCUUUACUAUAGCUUGACACUGAACAUUGAGCCUUGAUGUGUAGGAUAGGUGGGAGGCUUUGAAGCGUGGACGCCAGUCUGCGUGGAGCCAACCUUGAAAUACCACCCUUUAAUGUUUGAUGUUCUAACGUUGGCCCCUUAUCGGGGUUGCGGACAGUGUCUGGUGGGUAGUUUGACUGGGGCGGUCUCCUCCCAAAGCGUAACGGAGGAGCACGAAGGUUAGCUAAUCCUGGUCGGACAUCAGGAGGUUAGUGCAAUGGCAUAAGCUAGCUUGACUGCGAGCGUGACGGCGCGAGCAGGUGCGAAAGCAGGUCAUAGUGAUCCGGUGGUUCUGAAUGGAAGGGCCAUCGCUCAACGGAUAAAAGGUACUCCGGGGAUAACAGGCUGAUACCGCCCAAGAGUUCAUAUCGACGGCGGUGUUUGGCACCUCGAUGUCGGCUCAUCACAUCCUGGGGCUGAAGUAGGUCCCAAGGGUAUGGCUGUUCGCCAUUUAAAGUGGUACGCGAGCUGGGUUUAGAACGUCGUGAGACAGUUCGGUCCCUAUCUGCCGUGGGCGCUGGAGAAUUGAGGGGGGCUGCUCCUAGUACGAGAGGACCGGAGUGGACGCAUCACUGGUGUUCGGGUUGUCAUGCCAAUGGCACUGCCCGGUAGCUAAAUGCGGAAGAGAUAAGUGCUGAAAGCAUCUAAGCACGAAACUUGCCCCGAGAUGAGUUCU